rnacentral:lncRNA from 1 species
AGACACUGAAAUCCAGAGCAGAGCCUGUUGCUGUCUCUUUCCUCUGCUGCUCAGCACAGGGACAGGUUCAGCUGUGCUCUCACCUGCAAGGUCUAGAUUGAUCGAUUGGAGAACCCCGUUUCUUUCCUAGGAUUGAAGCACUCUGUCUUCAAGAGCGAGUGGGGAAUGCAGAGAUAUCCUAGCAGCAAGCCCCACUUUCCAGUAACUGAAGUCAUCUGCAGACACUGAGACCGUCCUUCGGAGGUGGGGCAGCUGAGAACCAUUGAAUACGGGAAGGCGUCUGAAGGCUCGUGGAAGCAGGGAUGCAGAAACACAUCCUCAUCACCUCCCGUCUCGCCUUCUCCCUCAGGAGAGCUAGAAGUACAGUCCUCCCAGCAAGGUCCAGGGAGAAAGAGCUUGGAGCAGUGGAAGCUGAAAGUGCCCUGGCCAGUGAGAUUCUUUAGCAGCUAAGCAACAGGCUGAAGUAGCUUCUGUGUUGGGCAAGGAGGCUUCUAACCAUCUGAGCCUACCAGUGGAAAAUCAAGCAGACCCGUAAAGCAAGACCUUACAUCCCACAGGCGUGGAGAAUUGGGUUAUGGCACUAAGCAAUGGAUUCCCAUCAGCCAAGGAAAAAAAAUGAUGCUGAUGAAUUUUAAAGUUCAUGUAGUCGGAGAUGUCCUGAUGCCUGCCACAAUGAACUUGACUGAUACAACCCAACAAGCAGAUGCUUGGUGUCUGGCCUGAAGCAUUGUUUAGCGGGAUGAGAGAUUAUAGGGCUCUUUACAAGUGAUCACCUACCAUGUAUGUGGGUAAAGGUUGACUACACAACCACCGUUCUGUAAAAAUGUGUUAAUCACAAGAAACAUACCACAAACCAUCAGAAAGAUUUGGCCUAGAUGUCCUGGAGAUAUUGGCACAACAAACAAGCAAACAAAACUCCAAAACAAAAGAAAUUCACAAACAAACAACAAGACCAAUGGCAUGUUUCAGUCCGUUGACUUUUUACCAGACAAGAAAUAAAAACUCUUCCUGGCUUGGGUU